AAAGUAAUCCCUCCGUCCCAAAAUUCUUGUCUUAGAUUUGUCUAGGUACGGAUGUAUAAGGUCACAUUUUAGUAUUAGAUAUAUCCGUAUCUAAACAAAUCUAAGACAAGAAUUUUCGGACAGAGGGAGUAGUUG
rfam:Triticum aestivum genome assembly, contig: Triticum_aestivum_CS42_TGACv1_scaffold_499878_6BL